rnacentral:rRNA from 1 species
GACGGGUAGGGGACCUGAGAGGGUGACCCCCCACGAUGGUACUGAAACACGGACCAUACACCUACGGGUGGCAGCAGUAGGGAAUUUUGCACAAUGGACGAAAGUCUGAUGCAGCAACGCCGCGUGUGCGAUGACGGCCUUCGGGCUGUAAAGCACUUUUCUGAGGGAAGAGGAAGGACGGUACCUCAGGAAUAAGUCUCGGCUAACUACGUGCCAGCAGCCGCGGUAACACGUAGGAGGCAAGCGUUAUCCGGAUUUACUGGGCGUAAAGCGCGUGCAGGCGGUUUGGUAAGUUGGAUGUUAAAGCUCCCGGCUCAACUGGGAGAGGCCGUUCAAUACUGCCAGACUAGAGGACGGUAGAGGGAGGUGGAAUUCCCGGUGUAGUGGUGAAAUGCGUAGAUAUCGGGAGGAACACCAGUGGCGAAAGCGGCCUCCUGGGCCGAUCCUGACGCUAAGACGCGAAAGCAUGGGUAGCAAACGGGAUUAGAAACCCCGGUAGUCCAUGCCGUAAACGAUGCGAACUUGGUGUUGGUGGUGUAAGAGCCAUCAGUACCGUAGCUAACGCGAUAAGUUCGCCGCCUGGGGAUUACGACCGCAAGGUUAAAACUCAAAGGAAUUGACGGGUUCCCGCACAAGCAGCGGAGCGUGUGGUUUAAUUCGAUACUACGCGAAGAACCUUACCUGGGCUUGACAUAUAGGUGGUAGGGAUCCGAAAGGUGACCGACCCCUCGGGGAGCCUAUACAGGUGCUGCAUGGCUGUCGUCAGCUCGUGUCGUGAGAUGUCCGGUUAAGUCCGGUAACGAGCGCAACCCUUGCCGUAUGUUAUACGUGUCAUACGGGACUGCCGGUAUAAAGCCGGGGGAAGGCGGGGAUGACGUCAAGUCAGCAUGGCCUUUAUGUCCAGGGCUACACACACGCUACAAUGGUCGGUACAGUGGGUCGCAAAAUCGCAAGGUGGAGCCAAUCCUCAAAACCGAUCUCAGUUCGGAUUGCAGGCUGCAACUCGCCUGCAUGAAGCUGGAGUUGCUAGUAAACGCGCGUCAGCAACAGUGCGUUGAAUACGUUCCCGGGAAUUGUACACACCGCCCGUCACGUCAUGGGAGCUGGUAACACAUAAAGUCGGUAUCCUAACCCUCACGGGAAGGAGCUGCCAAAGGUGGGACUGGUGACUGGGACGAAGUCGUAACAAGGUAGGUGUACCGGAAGGUGCGCCUGG